rnacentral:tRNA from 2 species
GCGGAUGUAGCUCAGUGGUAGAGCAUCACCUUGCCAAGGUGAGGGUCGCGGGUUCAAGUCCCGUCAUCCGCUC